rnacentral:lncRNA from 10 species
CAGGAGGUAAAGAAAUAGCCAAUCAUCUAUUGCCUGAGAGCAAAGCGGGAGGGACAAUGAUCGGGAUAGAAACCCAGGCAUUCAAGCCGGAAUGGCUACCCUCUUUGGGUCCCCUCCCUUUGUAUGGGAGCUCUGUUUUCACUCUAUUCAAUCUUGCAACUGCACUCUUCUGGUCCGUGUUUGUUACAGCUUGAGCUGAGCUUUCGCUCGCCUUCCACCACUGCUGUUUGCCGCCAUCGCAGACCUGCCGUGCUGACUUCCAUCCCUCUAGAUCUGGCAGGGUGUCCGCUGUGCUCUUGAUCCAGCGAGGCGCCCAUUGCCGCUCCCGAUUGGGCUAAAGGCUUGCAAUUGUUCCUGCACGCUAAGUGCCUGGGUUCAUCCUCAUCAAGCUGGGUUCCACGGUUCUCUUCAUGACCCGCAGCUUCUAACAGAGCUAUAAAACUCUGUGCAUGGCCCAAGAUUCCAUUCCUUGGAAUCUGUGAGGCCAAGAACCCCAGGUCAGAGAACAGGAGGCUUGCCACCAUCUUGGAAGUGGCUCGCCACCAUCUUAGGAGCUCUGUGAGCGGAGACCCCCACCCCCCGGUAACAUUUUGGCGACCACGAAGGGACCUCCAAAGCGAGCUAGGGAGAUACCUGUGCCAACUCUGGCUUUGUUUGCUCUGCCAGACAAUCCUGAUGCUGCAAAGUCAAAUCAUCGUGAAGGAAGUUUGUGCAAAUGUGGGAAACAGGACUAUAAUCCUGCUUGAAGUUUGCUUAGAUUCCUGGGAAGUCUCCCUAUUCCAACCCUUUUUGAGAAAGAGGUUGUGUUCUGCUAAAGUCAAGAAGAAAACCAAGAAACAGGAAACCAUGAGAUGUAGCAGAAGAGGGAGGCAAAGUAAAAUCCUAGGAAGAUGCAACAAAAGUAUCAAGACCACAGCAAGCCUAGAUCAACCAGUCCAAGUCUGAAGGCCUGAGGACCAGGAGCACUGAUGAUACUGAGAAAACGUGGUCCUUUUGUCGGUAAAAGAGUUUGGUAUAACAACAUCAAUGCAUGCGGGAAUUGUUCCUUUCUGCCUAAAGUACAGUUUUGGCAAGAUGAAGAAAAAAAGAUGAAGCUGUUUUCCAGAGACCAGCACUUCAUCCCUGAGAAAAUGUCAAGAUUAUAGGCAUGCUCUAUAGAAGAUAAUGAGUUAAUACCGAAUGGCUAAAUCAGGGGAGUAUUUGAUUGGGGUUCCCAGAAACCAACAAGAUGUGGAUUCAUAUUCAAAUGCUUCCAGGAGAAUCAAGUAAGGAAGUUAAGAAAGAGAAAGAAAGGAAACAAAGGCUUCUCUGAAGACAUGUCAUUUUACCCAAGACCUGAAAGAUGAGGAUGGUCAAGCCCUAUCACAAAACAAGUGAAGAUGUCCAGGCAAGUAUUCCAAAAUGAAUAAAGAACCUAGAGUGAACAUCAUACAUUCAGGAUCCUCCUCAAGAAAGAAAAUAUGACUGAAACCAUUGAUGGCCUCAACAUAUUCUUCUACAAUUGAUUUGUUCAUUAUCUUUUAAUGGACAUUUUGCUCUGAGUGAGAAAGAGAGAGAGGCCGGGAGGGGGGAAGGGCACAGAAUUGUAUAGGGUAUGCACAUUUACAAUUUUAUUUGAUUCACCAACUUGCUCUCAAACAGGGUUGAACCAAUUGUUGCUCUCAAGCAUGCAUAAGAUAUUCUGUUACUCUUUGCAAUCAGCCACAUUUACAGUAGUGUAUAGUAGUGCAUGUGCCGGUGUAGUGUGUGUGUGAGCGCAUGGGAGCGAGCGAGCGAGCGAGAGAGACAGAGAGAGAGAGGGAGGGGGGAGAAGUAGAGAGAGAGAGUUUUAAUUUGGCCAUUUUUAUGGAGAGAGAGAGAGAGGGAGGGAGGGAGAGGGGAGAAGUAGAGAGAGAAUUUUAAUUGGGCCAAGUUUAUGGAGGUAUGAAAUGAUUAUUUUUUUCUUAUGGUUUUUAGUUACAUGUCUCUUAUUACUGCUGAAGUUAGCACACUUUCAGAUAAACAUGCAGAAACACACCCACCAUUUGGAUGUCUUCCCUAGGAAUUGCCUGUACAUAAACCUUGACCUCUCUGCUUGGAUAGCUGACUUUUUAUCUUGUUGAUUCAUAGGAGUUAUUUACAUACUUUGGAUAAGAAUUCUUGCAGAUUAUGUUAUUUUUCCCAGAGCUUGGUUUUUUAUUUUCACAUACAUACUGCCUGUUUUAAUGAGAAGAAAUUUUAAAAGUAUCUACUUUUUAUCCUUAUCUUUCCUGUUUUAGCUAUUUAUAUCUUGUUUAAUAAACAUUUCUUUUCCCUGAGGCAACAGAGACAUUCAGACACAUUUAAAAAUUUUUACAUUUUCAGUAUUCACUUUUAGGUCCAACGUACCUUGAAUUCAUUUGUGUGUGUGUGUGUGUGUGUGUGUGUGUGUAUCCUGUAGGUAUGGAUCUAACUUAAUUUAUCACAGGAAUAACUGUCCCAGCUCCAUUUAAUGGCUACUGUGCCCUUUUCUACUGACCUGGUGCCUCUGUCACAUGUUGAGUUUCCAACUGAUUCAGCACUCUGUAUUUCAGCUCUUCACUGUGUGGCCUUAGAUUUGUCGCCUGUGGAUUACUAUUUAAAUGUUCAUUGUUUUACCUUUAAAUAAAAUUUCUUUUAGAACAGGGUAAUUCCUUCUCUUUUUUGGCUCCUCCUUGCUCCUUCCACUUUCCUUCCCUCCUCCUCACACUUCUCUUUGUCUUAUGAAAUUAUCUUGCCAAUUUUUUGAACGUUUGCCCAUCCAGUCAAGUAACAAAGACUUAGAUACAUUCAUGGAGAAGUGACCUUGUUGAAAAUUGAGAAAUGGCUGCUUUCUCAAUUUCUGCAAGUCUUUAAAAGUGUCUUUCAAGAAUUAUAUAUCAUUUUUACCCUACAACUAAUAAAGAAAUGACAAUUUUAUUAUUAUUAUGGAUCCAGUAUAUCCUUAAUAAUUAUUUUUAGUAUAAAAUCUGUUUUAUUACAUCAAUAUAGUUUGAAUAUUUU